AACGCACCUUGCACUCCUUGGUAUUCCGAGGAGUAUGCCUGUUUGAGUGUCAUGAAAUUUUCAAAGCCCUGCUGGCUUAUACCAAAGUCGGUCAGAGCGUUUGGAUUUGUGGAGGUUGCUGGACAGUUUAACUAUCAGCUCUUCUGAAAUUCAUUAGCAAAACCUUUACUGGCUAUAUUCCAUGGUAUGAUAAUUAUCUAUACCACUUGGAUAUCCAGGCUUUCUUGAUUGAGAGAGUGUGUGUGUUUUGCUUUCAAAUUGUCUUGGUUCAAGACAAAUCAUCGAACGUUUUGACCUCAAAUCAGGUAGGACUACCCGCUGAACUUAA
rnacentral:misc_RNA from 1 species